GACGAACGCCGGCGGCGUGCCUAAUACAUGCAAGUCGAACGCUUUUUCUUUCACCGGAGCUUGUUCCACCGAAAGGAAAAGAGUGGCGAACGGGUGAGUAACACGUGGGUAACCUGCCCAUCAGAAGGGGAUAACACUUGGAAACAGGUGCUAAUACCGUAUAACACUAUUUUCCGCAUGGAAGAAAGUUGAAAGGCGCUUUUGCGUCACUGAUGGAUGGACCCGCGGUGCAUUAGCUAGUUGGUGAGGUAACGGCUCACCAAGGCAACGAUGCAUAGCAGACCUGAGAGGGUGAUCGGCCACACUGGGACUGAGACACGGCCCAGACUCCUACGGGAGGCAGCAGUAGGGAAUCUUCGGCAAUGGACGAAAGUCUGACCGAGCAACGCCGCGUGAGUGAAGAAGGUUUUCGGAUCGUAAAAUUCUGUUGUUAGAGAAGAACAAGGAUGAGAGUAGAACGUUCAUCCCUUGACGGUAUCUAACCAGAAAGCCACGGCUAACUACGUGCCAGCAGCCGCCGUAA
rnacentral:rRNA from 1 species